AAAGGUACUCGUUGAGUUAAAAGGGAAAGUGGUUAAAUGCCACUGCAGCCCCCGCUACUGUAAAUGGUAUGAAAUCUAAAAUGUCAUUGGGAAACUGAGAAGACUAGAGAGUAAGUUAAGCCAUAAGCCAGGAGACCUGCCUUUUUAUA
rnacentral:ncRNA from 1 species